rnacentral:rRNA from 1 species
CCCUUAGAUGUUCUGGGCCGCACACGCGCUACAAUGAAGGAGGCAGCGUGUACUCCUGGAUCGAAAGAUUUGGGUAACCCGCGAAUCUCCUUCGUGCUAGGGAUUGAGGUUUGCAAUUAUCCUUCAUGAACGAGGAAUUCCCAGUAAGUGCAAGUCAUAAGCUUGCGCUGACUACGUCCCUGCCCUUUGUACACACCGCCCGUCGCUACUACCGAUUGAAUGAUUUAGUGAGGACUUCGGACUGGGACCGAUGCGGCUUUCGGGCUGCGUCGGUAUUCUGGAAAGAUGUCCAAACUGUAUCAUUUAGAGGAAGUAAAAGUCGUAACA